rnacentral:rRNA from 1 species
UACGUAGGGAGCAAGCGUUGUCCGGAUUUACUGGGUGUAAAGGGUGCGUAGGCGGCUUUGCAAGUCAGAAGUGAAAUCCAUGGGCUUAGCCCAUGAACUGCUUUUGAAACUGCAAGGCUUGAGUGAAGUAGAGGCAGGCGGAAUUCCCGGUGUAGCGGUGAAAUGCGUAGAGAUCGGGAGGAACACCAGUGGCGAAGGCGGCCUGCUGGGCUUUAACUGACGCUGAGGCACGAAAGCAUGGGUAGCAAACAGG